rnacentral:tRNA from 1 species
CAAAGUGCGGCUAAAAUAGAAAAGCAUCUCCCUUACACUGAGAAGACGCCCGUGCAAAUCGGGCCACUUUGA